UUCGCCGUGGCCUAAUGGUUAGGGCGCCAGAUUUCGGCUUGUUCCUGAUCGCGGGUUUCCAAACUCUGGAGAUUGCCGGUUCGAAUCCGGUCGGCGAAG